AUGGAAUCCUACGCCAACGGAGCCAAAUUCGAUUGCCUGCUGUUUGACAUGGAUGACACCCUCUACCCACUGAGCUUAGGGAUCAACCUAGCCUGCCGCAAGAACAUCCAAGACUACAUGCUGAACAAGCUUCAGAUCGAGGAGAGCCUGGUCCCCAAGAUGUGCCUGGAUCUGUACAAAGAAUACGGAACCACGAUGGCCGGUCUGAAGCUUAUGGGCUACGAUUUCGACUACGAUGAGUUCCACGCCAGCGUGCACGGUAAACUGCCCUACGAGAAGCUGAAGCCGGACCCCGUCCUGAGGAACCUGCUGCUUUCGAUGCCACAGAGGAAAAUCAUAUUCACCAACUCCGACGAGGCUCACGCGGCGACCGUCCUGGAGAAGAUGGGCCUGGAGGGGUGCUUUGAGGGAAUCAUAUGCUUCGAGACCCUGAACCAGAAGAAUUCAGGUGACAAGAGGGUCCUGUGCAAGCCGUCGCUGGAGUCCAUGGAAGCCGUGGUGGAGAUCGCCAAGCUCGACCCCAAGAAGACAGUGUUCUUCGACGACAGCCCGCGCAACAUCGCCUCAGGAAAGGCGGCAGGCUUCCAUACCGUCAUCGUAGGGAGCUCGGCGCUCGUGCCCGGGGCGGACGUGGCGCUGGAGAGCAUCCACAACAUCAGGGAGGCCCUGCCGGAGCUCUGGGAGGCGGGCGGCGACCACGUCGUCGACAUCCGGUCUGCCGCCGUCGCGGAGACCACGGUGCUCGCGUGA
rnacentral:rRNA from 1 species